GUCGAGCGCGGGAAGCGAGCUGAUCCCUUCGGGGUGACGCUCGUGGAACGAGCGGCGGACGGGUGAGUAACACGUGGGCAACCUGCCUGUAAGAUCGGGAUAACUCCGGGAAACCGGGGCUAAUACCGGGUAACACUUUCUUUCGCAUGAAGGAAAGUUGAAAGAUGGCUUCUCGCUAUCACUUACAGAUGGGCCCGCGGCGCAUUAGCUAGUUGGUGAGGUAACGGCUCACCAAGGCGACGAUGCGUAGCCGACCUGAGAGGGUGAUCGGCCACACUGGGACUGAGACACGGCCCAGACUCCUACGGGAGGCAGCAGUAGGGAAUCUUCCGCAAUGGACGAAAGUCUGACGGAGCAACGCCGCGUGAACGAUGAAGGUCUUCGGAUCGUAAAGUUCUGUUGUUAGGGAAGAACAAGUACCGUGCGAAUAGAGCGGUACCUUGACGGUACCUAACGAGGAAGCCCCGGCUAACUACGUGCCAGCAGCCGCGGUAAUACGUAGGGGGCAAGCGUUGUCCGGAAUUAUUGGGCGUAAAGCGCGCGCAGGCGGUUCCUUAAGUCUGAUGUGAAAGCCCACGGCUCAACCGUGGAGGGUCAUUGGAAACUGGGGAACUUGAGGACAGAAGAGGAGAGUGGAAUUCCACGUGUAGCGGUGAAAUGCGUAGAUAUGUGGAGGAACACCAGUGGCGAAGGCGACUCUCUGGUCUGUUUCUGACGCUGAGGUGCGAAAGCGUGGGUAGCAAACAGGAUUAGAUACCCUGGUAGUCCACGCCGUAAACGAUGAGUGCUAGGUGUUAGGGGGCUUCCACCCCUUAGUGCUGAAGU
rnacentral:rRNA from 1 species